AAUUAUAUUUUUUCUGUAAAGCAAAUCAUUUGGAAUAAUGAACGAUACAAGGUGAAAGUCCCGUAGUUUUAGAAAAAAAAAUAUGUCGAAAGAUUUCCCGAGUAGCUUGGGACAUGUGAAAUCCCGAGUGAAUCCGCGAGAACCAUCUCGUAAGACUAAAUACUCCUAAAUAACCGAUAGAGAAUAGUACCGUGAGGGAAAGGUGAAAAGUACCCCGGGAGGGGAGUGAAAUAGUACCUGAAACCGUGUGCCUACAAACCGUCGGAGCCUGGAAGGGUGACGGCGUGCCUUUUGAAGAAUGAGCCUGCGAGUUAGUGUUACGUCGCGAGGUUAACCCGUGAGGGGUAUCCGUAGCGAAAGCGAGUCUGAACAGGGCGAGUGAGUGGCGUGAUCUAGACCCGAAGCGAAGUGAUCUACCCAUGGCCAGGUUGAAGCGCGUGUAAGAGCGCGUGGAGGACCGAACCCACUUCAGUUGAAAAUGGAGGGGAUGAGCUGUGGGUAGGGGUGAAAGGCCAAUCAAACUUCGUGAUAGCUGGUUCUCCCCGAAAUGCAUUUAGGUGCAGCGUUACGUGUUUCUUGCCGGAGGUAGAGCUACUGGAUGGCCGAUGGGCCCUACAAGGUUACUGACGUCAGCCAAACUCCGAAUGCCGGUAAGUGAGAGCGUAGCAGUGAGACUGUGGGGGAUAAGCUUCAUAGUCAAAAGGGAAACAGCCCAGACCAUCAGUUAAGGCCCCUAAAUAAUAACUAAGUGGAAAAAGAGGUGAAAAUGCUUAAACAACCAGGAGGUUUGCUUAGAAGCAGCCAUCCUUUAAAGAGUGCGUAAUAGCUCACUGGUCAAGUGAUUCCGCGCCGACAAUGUAGCGGGGCUCAAGUACACCGCCGAAGUUGUGGCAUUGCACCAAUGAUACCCAACCGGGCCUCGCGCCCGGUUCAGGUGGUGCGAUGGGUAGGGGAGCGUCGUGUGGGCAGUGAAGCUGCGGGGUGACCCAGUGGUGGAGCCCACACGAGUGAGAAUGCAGGCAUGAGUAGCGAAUGACGGGUGAGAAACCCGUCCGCCGGAUGAUCAAGGGUUCCAGGGUCAAGCUAAUCUGCCCUGGGUCAGUCGGGACCUAAGGCGAGGCCGACAGGCGUAGUCGAUGGACAACGGGUUGAUAUUCCCGUACCGGCGAAGAACCGCCCCUAUCGAACCGGGGACACUAACCACCCGAACCGCACCAGGUGCCGGCCAUUGGCCGUCGCCGGUGUCGGGGAGCGUGGGACCUGAACCGGGGAGGUAAGCGUAUUAACAGGUGUGACGCAGGAAGGUAGCCGAGCCGGGCGAUGGUAGACCCGGUCUAAGCGUGUAGGGCGAUCCGUUGGCAAAUCCGCGGAUCACAGGGCCUGAGACGUGACGGGACCCCCAUCCGUGGGGGGAUUCGGUGAUCCUAUGCUGCCGAGAAAAGCAUCGACGCGAGGUUCCAGCCGCCCGUACCCCAAACCGACACAGGUGAUCAGGUAGAGAAUACUAAGGCGAUCGAGAGAAUCAUGGUUAAGGAACUCGGCAAAAUGCCCCCGUAACUUCGGGAGAAGGGGGGCCCCGACCGUGGACCGGACGUGCUCCGGCGAGCGGGUAAGGGCCGCAGAGACCAGGGGGAAGCGACUGUUUAUCAAAAACACAGGUCCGUGCGAAGUCGCAAGACGAGGUAUACGGACUGACUCCUGCCCGGUGCUGGAAGGUUAAGAGGACCUGUUAGCCUCACGGCGAAGCGGAGAAUUUAAGCCCCAGUAAACGGCGGUGGUAACUAUAACCAUCCUAAGGUAGCGAAAUUCCUUGUCGGGUAAGUUCCGACCCGCACGAAAGGCGUAACGAUCUGGGCGCUGUCUCGGAGAGAGACUCGGUGAAAUAGAAUUGUCUGUGAAGAUGCGGACUACCUCCAUCAGGACAGAAAGACCCUAUGAAGCUUUACUGUAAUUUGAAAUUGUAGUUGGGCUUUUCUUGCGCAGCUUAGGUGGAAGGCGUUGAUAUUUAUUUUCUGGAAUAAAAGGAGCCAUCAGUGAGAUACCACCCUUGAAAAGUUGAACUACUAAUCUUUUGCCGUUAGCCGGCUAAGAAACAGUUUUUGAUGGACAGUUUGACUGGGGCGGUCGCCUCCCAAAAGGUAACGGAGGCGUGCAAAGGUUCUCUCAGACUAGAUGGAAAUUAGUCGCUGAGUGUAAAGGCAAAAGAGAGCUUGACUGAGAGACCUACAAGUCGAUCAGGGACGAAAGUCGGCCUUAGUGAUCCGGCGGUUUUUUAUGGAUAAGCCGCCGCUCAACGGAUAAAAGCUACUCUAGGGAUAACAGGCUGAUCUCCCCCAAGAGUUCACAUCGACGGGGAGGUUUGGCACCUCGAUGUCGGCUCAUCGCAUCCUGGGGCGGUAGUACGUCCCAAGGGUUGGGCUGUUCGCCCAUUAAAGCGGUACGUGAGCUGGGUUCAAAACGUUGUGAAACAGUUUGGUCCAUAUCCGAUGGAGGCGUAAGAGUAUUGAAAGGAUCUUUUCCUAGUACGAGAGGACCGGAAAGGACAUGCCUCUGGUGUACCAGUUAUUUUGCCAAAAGUAAACGCUGGGUAGCUAAGCAUGGAGUGGAUAACUGCUGAAAGCAUCUAAGUAGGAAGCCCACCUUAAGAUGAGUACUCUUU
rnacentral:rRNA from 13 species